AUUGAACGCUGGCGGCAUGCUUUACACAUGCAAGUCGGACGAGUGGCGAACGGGUGAGUAACGCAUCGGAACGUACCGAGUAAUGGGGGAUAACUGUCCGAAAGGACAGCUAAUACCGCAUAUUAUCCUAGCGGCCGAUGUGUGAUUAGCUGGUUGGCGGGGUAACGGCCAACCAAGGCGACGAUCAGUAGCGGGUCUGAGAGGAUGAUCGGCCCCACUGGGAGUGAGACACGGCCCAGACUCCGACGGGAGGCAGCAGGGGGGAAUUUUGGACAAUGGGCGAAAGCCUGAUCCAGCCAUGCCGCGUGUCUGAAGAAGGCCUUCGGGUUGUAAAGGACUUUUGUCAGGGAAGCGGUACCUGAAGAAUAAGCACCGGCGACUACGUGCCAGCAGCCGCGGUAAUUC
rnacentral:rRNA from 1 species